rnacentral:rRNA from 1 species
GACGAACGCUGGCGGCGUGCCUAAUACAUGCAAGUAGAACGCACAGUUUAUACCGUAGCUUGCUACACCAUAGACUGUGAGUUGCGAACGGGUGAGUAACGCGUAGGUAACCUGCCUGGUAGCGGGGGAUAACUAUUGGAAACGAUAGCUAAUACCGCAUAAUAUUGAUUAUUGCAUGAUAAUUGAUUGAAAGAUGCUAUUGCAUCACUACCAGAUGGACCUGCGUUGUAUUAGCUAGUAGGUGAGGUAACGGCUCACCUAGGCGACGAUACAUAGCCACCUGAGAGGGUGAUCGGCCACACUGGGACUGAGACACGGCCCAGACUCCUACGGGAGGCAGCAGUAGGGAAUCUUCGGCAAUGGACGAAAGUCUGACCGAGCAACGCCGCGUGAGUGAAGAAGGGUUUCGGAUCGUAAAGCUCUGUUGUAAGAGAAGAACGGGUGUGAGAGUGGAAAGUUCACACUGUGACGGUAUCUUACCAGAAAGGGACGGCUAACUACGUG